CCUACGGGAGGCAGCAGAGGGGAAUAUUGCACAAUGGGGGAAACCCUGAUGCAGCGACGCCGCGUGAGUGAAGAAGUAAUUCGUUACGUAAAGCUCUAUCAGCAGGGAAGAAAUACUGACCUUACGGUCAGCAGACGGUACCUGAGUCAGACGCCCCGGCUAACUACGUGCCAGCAGCCGCGGUAAUACGUAGGGGGCAAGCGUUAUCCGGAUUUACUGGGUGUAAAGGGAGCGUAGACGGUGCGCCAAGUCUGGAGUGAAAUGCCGCAGCUUAACUGCGGAACUGCUUUGGAAACUGGCGAACUAGAGUGCGGGAGGGGUAAGCGGAAUUCCUAGUGUAGCGGUGAAAUGCGUAGAUAUUAGGAGGAACACCGGUGGCGAAGGCGGCUUACUGGACCGUAACUGACGUUGAGGCUCGAAAGCGUGGGGAGCAAACAGGAUUAGAUACCCCAGUAGUC
rnacentral:rRNA from 1 species